rnacentral:rRNA from 1 species
UACGAAGGGGGCUAGCGUUGCUCGGAAUCACUGGGCGUAAAGCGCACGUAGGCGGCUCGUUAAGUCGGGGGUGAAAUCCUGGAGCUCAACUCCAGAACUGCCCUCGAUACUGGCGAUCUUCGAGUCCGGGAGAGGUGAGUGGAACUCCGAGUGUAGAGGUGAAAUUCGUAGAUAUUCGGAAGAACACCAGUGGCGAAGGCGGCUCACUGGCCCGGUACUGACGCUGAGGUGCGAAAGCGUGGGGAGCAAACAGG